UUCCCCUAGGACUUAGAGGAAUUGUUUCCUUCUAAGCAAAGAGUGUACACCGUCUUUCUGCUGCUGGCCUUUGUUUACCUGCCUGUGUCAUAUAAGACUCAGGGCUGCUCUCUGCCACAGCUUGUCCCCUAUGAGAAGGUAGAAGAUUAGCACCUGCCCUUCCCUGGUCACACCCUCUGUCACCACCAAGUCUCUAUCAGUGUGAUUGAAUGUUCUGUACUUGCCAGGAUUAGUAUGGCUAUGGAUUGGAUAAGGGUGCCUCAAAGAACUAUAUGUUGAAAGUUUGGUAUUCAGACUGGUAUCAUUGGGAGAUAGUGUAACCUUUAAGAGGUGUGGCCUAGUUGGGGACCUCAGACCCUCCCUGUUUCUCUCUUUCCCUUCCUGGCCUCUAUGAGGUGAAUAGGUCUCCUCUAACAACAUAUGCUGUCACAGGCCCCAAAACAGCAGGCCAGAAGAACACGAAUGGAGACCUCUAAAUUGAUUGUCAACUGAAGCCUUUUCUGUUUUAAAAUUGCUGAAAUGAGAAACAAGGUGACAUGGAGACACACAGAAACUCUGGUGCUGAACUCCCUGGAACAUACUGAAGCUGACCUACCUGGAUUCCACACUUGCUCUGUUACUCGAGCCAUGUGUCAUGGGAAAUCCUUCUUUAAUGAGAAGCUAAAGGAUGAUGCACACAUUGCUCAGUAGUGGAGAGACUGAGCCGGGCCAGCUUCAUCUGUGAAUUCUCUCUUGGUAGAUGAUGAACUGAGGCUACUUCUCUCCAGAGACAAUCAAAAUAACACUUUGUGGAAAUCUCUGGCCAAAAU